rnacentral:lncRNA from 1 species
UGAUAAUUCUUUGCAGUCAGUACUGUCUUGGUCUUCUGUUCCUCUAAAUCCUUACUGCAGGAUUGAAGGCUGAGUCUGGCCUGCAUUAUGUGGCCUGGCCAACUGCCUGUCACUCUCUCAUGCUUUAGGAGUUCUGAUAAGAACAGUAAGCAUUUUCUCACAGCAAAUGACUCAGAGUUAAAUGUUGUUCCAGAUACAAAAGUUGCUUCCCAAAACAGCUAUGCUUCAUUUGUUUUCAACCAUUUUGAUCUACUUGUUCCAUGUAGAUAUAAAAAUAUUAAUGCUGAUCUUUCUUAGGUCAAGUUUUAAAGACUUUUUUCCCUUUUAUCCAUCCAUCUCUCUGCACUUACAACAUGCUCCGAACACUGUAGUCCAAUGUAAAUAUAAUACACAUCACAUGAGUGAUUUUAAAGAGAAGAAAAGAAACAGAGACAAUCCAUUUUAAUGGUGUAUUUUAUUUAACCUAACAUGUAAAAUGCGAUUUCAAUAUUUAAUUAAUAGAAAUAAUUAAAGAGAUGAUUUAAUUUAUUUUUCAUACAUAUUUCUUGAAAUCUACUGUGUAUUUUAAACUGAUGAUAUAUCUCUAUCAUAAGUCCAUAAGCUUGGAUUGGCCAUGUGUCAAGUGCGCAAAGGCCAUGUGUCUAGUAACUAUUACAUUUUAAAGUCUAGAACUAGUUUAUUUGGUCCUGAGGAUGUAAUGUCCAAAAGAGGUCAGCUCUUACCCCUGCCUAGUGGACAGGGCAGAUCAAUGAAACAUUUAAUAUUGGUGUCGAGUACCUGAGGGGGAACUGAGCACAGAGGAUUGGGAGCCCAGAAAAUGGGCUCAGAGUCUGACCUGUGAGCCCAGGCCUCUGGCAACAGACACAGAUUGUUUCACUAAAUCUCAUUUCUUUGAAGUUGUCCCCUGUGGGAGGCCACUGAGCUGGAGUUUGGCACAGAUCCCAGUCUGUCAAACAUUGACUUUUGGCUCAUACAAGGAGAGCCAUUGGCAAGUUCACAUUUACUUACAGGCUCUGCUCUGGCCACAAGUCAAUGGGUUGGGAUUUCACCAUCCCAAAUGUGUCUGCCUUUCACUCUGGCUUGCUUUUCGGUCUCUAGGCCAAGCUCUUUUCUGUGCUGCGGACUACUCUUCCACCAGCCAUAGCACCUUGUUCCUCUUGUACAGAACCAAGGGAGGGCCUUGGCAGUGUGAUGGCAGGGUGGGAAAGCAAAAGAACAUGUAGGGCUUCUUCCUUGCUGCAUAGGCAAGAAACUCUACCUAAAUUCUAUGGUCUACAGACAGAAGGAGCUAUUACAUACACUUAGACUUCCAUAGUCUAAGUAUAUAGUCCAGUUUCAUCCUGGAGUCUUUCCCAAGGGCUCUCUGACCGUUAGUGGAAAGAUCGAUGUUUGGGCUACACGCCACCUUUCCUGUCCUUACCUGCUCACUGCAUUUGCCCGUCUUCUCUAGGAGUUACCGAGGCCUCUGAUAUAGAUGGCAUGGCUCACGGGGUUAAACAAGUCUGUGCCUCUUCCCCAGACUCCCUGUGUGGGGUAGUGCUAGAGAUAUGUUUACAGACACCCAGCCAGGAAGUGCCAGGGAAGAGGAGGAGCAGUUUCCACUUAGCCUCCCACCUCUUCUUGGCUUUCCUUUCUGGCAUCUCCCUACAGCCCAACGAGGGAUGGGAAUUUGGCAGGGUGAAAGUAUCUCAUUGUGCUUCCUCACCCCUCCGUCUUACCUCCCUCCCAAGACUUUUGCACUGUCCAGGUCAUUUACCACACAGAGCUUGCAAUUUCCUUUCUUAGUGCUGCUGUGGAAGAGGUUGGGAAAUGUAAUCCUGUCCAGGAGAUGAGUGAUGCAUAGGAAGACAGGGUCAAAUGAGGUCAGGGUUCAAUGAGGUCCCCAGCUAGGGUUUUACCAAUUCUCCCAGGCAGCAAUGUGAAGGCCAGCCAUGCUGCUCUGAUAAGGGGGAGAGGAUGGGAACUCUACCUCGCACACCUUUCUCUGUUGAUAUUAGAGUUAAGGUGGAUAGGGAGACUCUGGAAGUCUAAGCAUAUGUAAUAGUUAUUUUUGUCUGUGGACCAUUGAAUUUAGGUAGAGUUUCUUGCCUAUGUGGCUAAGAGGUAUUUGCCUGGAACAGGGGCUACUUAUCAGUGAAUUUACAAUAGAAUAAAAUGAUCCUCUUGCCCAACGACCACAGAUUGACAAUAGUCCCUUGUAGAGGGAUCUCGUCUCAUGGGCCUCUUUCCUGUCCGUGAUGAAAUGUUUACAUUCUCAAUCUUGAGUGUGUCUUAUGCAGAUUACCAAAGAUGAAGUCAGUUCAUGAGUUGCAUCAUAUCCAGGAGAUGUCUUUAUGCAGCAUGUCUCCCUAUUCUCUCUUCUCUCCCUGACAUUAUUUUCAACACAUUCUCCUGUGAUGGUCUCUGAACCAUGGAGGAAGUGACAACUGUCCCAUUUGCUGAUGAGCACUGCAUCACUACUUAUUCUUGUCACUUAUAGGUGACAAGAUAUUGAACACUGUCUACUGUGGUAAGCAGCUUCUCUGACUAAGAUUAAGAAUAGUACUAGCCUAUGGCUAUAAGAUAGAAUAUUUAGAGGGUAGUUUGACAACAAGACAAUUUAGCCAAAAAGAUGGUAGUAGGUCCCCCGUUAUGGCCUAUGAUGGCCAUAGCCAUGGACUCUCGACAAAAUUUACAGAAACAGGCAUAAGGUCCUUCCUGUAAAACUGGCCUCAAAUCCAGUGGGGUUGAUUGGUUGUCCUUAUAACGGUCAUGCCACUAUUGCAUCAGAGGGCACAGAAUUGCUUAUCAGUUACGAUUGACAACUGGGUCAAAUCGUUGAUGACUCCCCGACCCCCAGCAGUCUAUGUAACUACUCCUGACGCUAUGAAGAUGGAUGAGGUUCUUAGGAAGAAGCUUCUAGCUGAGCUGUCGUUUGUUUUCUCUGAGUAUGGGGUAUCUUCAGCAUUAGAGCCUUACUGUCAAGGUCCAGGUAGCAACACAGAUCUGGGGCAAUAACCUUUUAGGAUCUCAUUGGCCAUAGGGAGGUGUUCCACAACUGGCACUGGGGAUUUUAUUUAAUAACCUACAGCUUCCAGGAAGAGCCUUAGUACCCACUCUUAAUUCCUUUCAGUUUUUUUUUUUUUUUGUAUGUGCAUGUGGGUGUGUGUGUACCUGAGUACACAUGUAUGCAGGAGCCUGCAGAAGUGAAAAGAGAGAUUCACUUUUCCUGUACCUGAGUUUCAGACAGGUAGGUGUGUGCUGUUUGAUGUGGUUGCUGUGCUGUGCUGGGACCUAAGUACCCUGCCAGAGCAGUGAACACACAACAUCACUGAGCCAUCUCCCUGGUUUUUUUCAGGUUAUGUGUUCAAUAACCACAUAAAAUAGUGGGUUCUUCUAUAUGGUAUAUAUCUGUCUAUAUAUCUAUAUCUACCUAUCUUUAGUUUUAUUACUCCUUCUUCUUCCAUAUCCUCCUGGCCUCCUCCCGGCUUGGCUUUUUCUAUCUUGCCCAGUGCCCACUCCCUUUCAUCUCUGAUGGAUUUUAUUAUCACUUCUCUCUGUAAUAGCUCCUUUUGUCUUUCUGUCCUUUACCAUCAGUCAGUGAUAAUGAUAAACCUAUG